rnacentral:rRNA from 1 species
CGGACGGGUGAGUAACGCGUGAGAACCUGCCUUCAGAAUGGGGACAACAGUUGGAAACGACUGCUAAUACCCAAUGUGCCGAAAGGUGAAAGAUUUAUCGUCUGAAGAUGGGCUCGCGUCUGAUUAGCUAGAUGGUGGGGUAAGAGCCUACCAUGGCAACGAUCAGUAGCUGGUCUGAGAGGAUGAGCAGCCACACUGGGACUGAGACACGGCCCAGACUCCUACGGGAGGCAGCAGUGGGGAAUUUUCCGCAAUGGGCGAAAGCCUGACGGAGCAAUACCGCGUGAGGGAGGAAGGUCCUUGGAUUGUAAACCUCUUUUAUCAGGGAAGAAAAAAAUGACGGUACCUGAUGAAUAAGCAUCGGCUAACUCCGUGCCAGCAGCCGCGGUAAUACGGAGGAUGCAAGCGUUAUCCGGAAUUAUUGGGCGUAAAGCGUCCGUAGGUGGUUUUGCAAGUCUGCUGUUAAAGAAUGGAGCUUAACUCCAUAAGAGCGGUGGAAACUGCAAGACUAGAGUACAGUAGGGGUAGCAGGAAUUCCCAGUGUAGCGGUGAAAUGCGUAGAUAUUGGGAAGAACAUCGGUGGCGAAAGCGUGCUACUGGGCUGAAACUGACACUGAGGGACGAAAGCUAGGGUAGCGAAAGGGAUUAGAUACCCCAGUAGUC